rnacentral:rRNA from 1 species
GACGAACGCUGGCGGCGUGCCUAAUACAUGCAAGUUGAGCGCUGAAGGUUGGUACUUGUACCGACUGGAUGAGCAGCGAACGGGUGAGUAACGCGUGGGGAAUCUGCCUUUGAGCGGGGGACAACAUUUGGAAACGAAUGCUAAUACCGCAUAAAAACUUUAAACACAAGUUUUAAGUUUGAAAGAUGCAAUUGCAUCACUCAAAGAUGAUCCCGCGUUGUAUUAGCUAGUUGGUGAGGUAAAGGCUCACCAAGGCGAUGAUACAUAGCCGACCUGAGAGGGUGAUCGGCCACAUUGGGACUGAGACACGGCCCAAACUCCUACGGGAGGCAGCAGUAGGGAAUCUUCGGCAAUGGACGAAAGUCUGACCGAGCAACGCGCGUGAGUGAAGAAGGUUUUCGGAUCGUAAAACUCUGUUGGUAGAGAAGAACGUUGGUGAGAGUGGAAAGCUCAUCAAGUGACGGUAACUACCCAGAAAGGGACGGCUAACUACGUG